AGGUGUUACAAAUUGAGUUAACAAUCGAUCGACCUAAAAUUCUUGGUCCCAUGGCAAAAAAAGAAUAAAAAACAUGGAAGCAAAUUCAAUCGGUACUUUUCCGACACCGAAGCUCAAGAGCAACAGGAAUCAAGUAGCGAUAAGGAGCCUGAAAACCCGAAGGAAAGAUGAGACCAAGAUAAGGUCAGAUAUAAAAUCACUGGAGAAAAGAUUGGGAAACGCAUAUCUCGCAAAUCGGAAGCUCUUUCAUCCAGUAGCCUGAGAAAAACCUUUCCUCUAAGAAGUCGGUGGAGGCCCGAACAGAGACAGCCCUCAAUCUACGGUUCGACGCUCAACUAACGAACAAAGAUCCGGUAUAAAGACAGGACUACACUAACUAUCAGAAUCAGAAACGCUCGCUCACUCUGCCAAGAUACUUCCCCGAUGUCGGCAGCACAGAACCGAACAACCUCUAAACUCAUCAGCCUUACUAGCUCUUCCGAAAGUAAGAAAGACAAGACACAAAACAUUACUCCAAGUAAUCUCAAUCAAACAACACCAGGGAAACACUUACACCAAACCGAGAGAAACAGGCAAAGCAAACCCAUCAGCGAUGAUACAAGGAGCCACUGGAAGCAAAGACUUGAAGAAAACCGAGCCAACACCGCAUCGAAACAGAGCUUUGAACAAAGAAACGACGCAGAGAGUCUCACAAGCUUCCACCAAGAGAAGCACGCUCAGAUUAACCAGAAAAAGCCACCGCCUUGAGCAAAUGCCACCGACGGGAUCUAACCAAGAGACAACGAAGGAAGAUGCCACACCUCCAACACGCCGACGAUGGAGAAGAGAAUCAGAUCUGAAGAACAACACGCUGAGACCCGUCCUCGGAGACCUCACACCACGUGCAGCCAAGAUCUAGUCAAUCCACUCCACCAUGAAAGACGCGCAGCGGCCACACCGAGAUCCAGAAGAUCCC
rnacentral:lncRNA from 1 species